rnacentral:lncRNA from 1 species
GAGAACCUGGGGACGCUAGGUUCCGGAACCUGACCUGAGCUGGGGCCUGUGCUUCCAGCGGGUGGUGGGGGGCCUGGUGUGCUGGCAUCAAGUAAGCCGACUACCUCGGCAAAGGCUUAGGGACAAGAGACCAGCAGCCUGAACUGGCUGGGGCAUCCGGAAGGCUUAGAUCUUGUGGCCAAGAGUUCAGACCGUGGCGAAGUGGAGAGUGACAUGCAGUUGGAUGGCGGUGACUGCGUGGUCCUGCAACCCUGGUUCCAGUCUGGCAAGCAUUGUAGACCUGGCUGCUGAAGACUGACGGGGCCCAGGGUCCGCUGCCCCCACCGCCAUCACCACCUCGGAACCCAGGGUAACGCUGUCAGUCUUUGAUGAUGUCAGAAGUGGGAUCCAAAGUAGAGCUUAUAAUGACACCUAGGAGUGCUGAGUGACCAAGCAAGGUACCCACCAGGCCGAUUAUGUCCAUUGUUCUCUUGGAGCAGCUGGUCAUCAUGGGAAAGGGUGCCACACUGGGAAUGCAAGCUGUCCUUGCUUCUGAACCAAGACUACUAUUGUGCCAGGAAGAGGGUGGGAAAAGAAGCCAAUAAAACUUUUCUUUUGAGUGAUUUGCAGCUUUUAACAAACUGAACCUGCUUAUUUCUGUGAACCAACCAGUGAUCUCUUAUGGCUGUUCAAAAGUAACAAGAGAGAUAUCACCUUUUGUCAUAACUCAAGUCUUAUGAAUGGCCCUCACCAUAAUGAUGCUUUUUGACUGAGCUCUUCUCUAACCUGAAUGCAAGAGGUUAGGCAUGAAUAUCAUCCCCCCUGUUCAGCCUGAAGAAGUUACAGAAGAUGAAUCUUCCACUCUCUACAGCCCUUAGGAUUAAGGGUUCUCUUACUGAAUGUAUUCUUAAACUGAACACUUAUUAAUCUUCCAGAUAUCACCUUUUGUCAUAACUCAAGACUU